rnacentral:lncRNA from 1 species
GAAAAAUUACCUAACCUUCCUAUAAGCAUAAAAAUUCACUAUUUGCCUUCUGACUUUCGGGCAUUAACUCCAUCCAACUCGCCUAACUUGUCUAACUUGCCUAACCGCACACUAGAACCUCGUGUCGACAAUCCACGGUUCUAACGAGCUGGGGGCUAGCUAUUGGUGUCAAAAAGGUCACGACAGAAUUAACACCUGAAUG